GUUAGACUAGAGACCUUCUUGAGGUCUCUUCCAGCUGAUGUUGAUCUCUGACAUGAUCCUACUGAGGAGUUUGAACCCUGACUCUGGUUCUGAAUUCAUCAUCCACUCAGGUUUUCAGGAAUAGUCUGGAAGAGUCUUGCUGAAUCCCACAACUGUUAAAGCUGGCGUCACCACCACUGAAACAAGUUUAUGCUCACCUGGACAUUGAGUUUAUACUCAGUAACCUCAAAGAUGAUGACAGAGCAAUACGGAAAUAGCAAAGCGUGGACAGUGAACUCGGUUCUUGCUGUAAGACAAACCUGGAUGGGUCUGGUAUCGGACAGUUCAUUUUGCUGAAAGACACAUUGGGCUGCCUGCUCUGUUCCUGGAGGGGCUGGUUGCAACUGCAUGAGGCAAUAAAUCAGUUGCUGCUCCUCCAGGAAAGAAACCCCUUGGCUCUCAGCUCAGCCCCUGCUGGCAAAAAAGUGUGGAGGUCAGGAGCCAGGCUUCUGCCCAGCUGUGCCAAGUCCAGGACACCAGCCUGUAAAUCACCUGGGUUCAGCCCCUGAUGUCAGUGCUCUACAGAAGGAGAAAGGCCACUAAACCUCUGGUUUACAGAAGUUUUUGUGCAUGGGGACAGAAGGCAUGGUGUGUCAGUCUGGCUUUGUAAUAAAUGGGAUGGAUGUUGGUGCCCUGGCAGUACUGUUUGCGCACACUUUAGGGCUGAGGCAUGUCUUCAUUACCUAUGCAGGGAUUUGUAUUAGGAAGCCAGUGUGGUUUUAGUAUCUUACCCUGCUGAUCUGAGACCUCGCUUGGGUGAUAUGUGCAAUUGGCAGUGGUUGGAUCCAGAUCCUGAUGUUGUGGUGUUGGCUGGAGAGG